rnacentral:SRP_RNA from 1 species
GCCAGGCGUGGUGGUGCGCGCCUGUAAUCCCAGCUACUGAGGAGGCUGAGGUAGGAGAAUCGCUUGAACCUGGGAGGCUGAGGUUGCAGUGAGCUGAGAUCAUGUCUCUGCACUCCAGCCUGGGCGACAGAGCGAGACUCUGUCUCAA